UACGUAGGUGGCAAGCGUUAUCCGGAAUUAUUGGGCGUAAAGCGCGCGCAGGUGGUUUCUUAAGUCUGAUGUGAAAGCCCACGGCUCAACCGUGGAGGGUCAUUGGAAACUGGGAGACUUGAGUGCAGAAGAGGAAAGUGGAAUUCCAUGUGUAGCGGUGAAAUGCGUAGAGAUAUGGAGGAACACCAGUGGCGAAGGCGACUUUCUGGUCUGUAACUGACACUGAGGCGCGAAAGCGUGGGGAGCAAACGGGAUUAGAUACCCGCGUAGUCC
rnacentral:rRNA from 1 species